rnacentral:rRNA from 1 species
CCUACGGGAGGCAGCAGUGGGGAAUUUUGGGCAAUGGGCGAAAGCCUGACCCAGCGACGCCGCGUGGGGGAUGAAGGCCUUCGGGUUGUAAACCCCUGUCAGGGGGGACGAAAGGCUCUCGGUGAAUAGCCGGGGGGUUUGACGGUACCCCCAAAGGAAGCCCCGCGUAACUCCGUGCCAGCAGCCGCGGUAAUA